UGGGAAUUAUGUUCUGGCAGAACCUGGACACCGAUUAACAUGUGCAAAUUACCAAGAGGCUUGGGAACACCCAUGCUGCCCCUGGCACUAGAUGCAAAGAAUGCAAUAGGGUCAACUGAGGACUCUAAAAAGAAACAUUGGGAACAAUUGGCCUCUGAGGCUUCAUGGACAGGGCUACAAGGGUCCAUAACAGUUCUUAGAGGAUACAAUGUGACAAUUUACCACCUACCAUAAUGUAAACAUCAACUCAAUUUGAGAGCUGGUUUAAAGGGACACUAUAGUCACCCAGACCACUUUAUCU